rnacentral:misc_RNA from 1 species
UGGCCUCUGUUUCCUUCGUCGU